UUUGUUGUUGUUGUUUUCGUUUAAACCGCACCCGAUCAUCAAUUAUGAAAUACAAUAGAAUGAUAAUGCAAAUCGAAUAAUUCGAAUUUUGCGCAUUUCAUUUCGAGUGCUUUGUUUGUUCUCGCUAUACAGUGUGUUUUAUUCUUAUUUCGGUAUCGGUACAACAAAUAAUUGAUCGCAACCUGUUUUUUUUUUUUUUUGUUUUGGACAACAACUCCGCUAUUCUGGACGGGAGAAACCAUUCAAACUGAGUCGCUGAUCAAUUUGUCAAAUAUUUGUGACCAUUGAUGUAAAUUGCUACAAAUCGACUUUGGGGGCUGCGUCAUGUUGUUGUCGCUGUCUGUGCAACAUGUAGAACAACAACAACAACAACAACAACGACAACAAGAAGCACAUAAACAAUUAUCUGGCUGCGAGAAUUGGCCAAGAGCAAUAAUAACAUUAAAAACAAACUAAAGCGAAUAACUCGACAACGAAACUCAGAAAGACAUUUUCAAUACAGAGAAAUAUAUAUAAAAAU